rnacentral:rRNA from 1 species
GCUUAACACAUGCAAGUCGAGCGAGAAUCGUUUAUUGAAGGCUUCGGCUGGAAAUAGAUGAGGAAAGCGGCGAAUGGGUGAGUAACGCGUGGGCAACCUGGCCUUAAGAAAAGGAUAGCCCCCGGAAACGGGGAGUAAUACUUUAUGAGAAUGAAAGAGGGCAUCCUACUUUCAUUCAAAGCGCAAGCGCUUAAGGAUGGGCCCGCGUAUCAUUAGCUAGUUGGUGAGAUAACAGCCCACCAAGGCAACGAUGAUUAGCCGGUCUGAGAGGGCGAACGUCCACAUUGGAACUGAGAGACGGUCCAAACUCCUACGGGAGGCAGCAGUGGGGAAUAUUGCGCAAUGGAGAAGAACUCUGACGCAGCAAUACCGCGUAAGCGAAGAAGGUCUUCGGAUCGUAAAGCUCUGUUAUCAGGGAAGAAGAAAAUGACGGUACCUGAUGAGCAAGUCCCGGCUAACUACGUGCCAGCAGCCGCAGUAA